rnacentral:misc_RNA from 1 species
UUAAAGACCAAAUUGUAAAUUCCUCUUAUUGAUAUUGAAGCAAAAUUAAAAAGAUUGUUCCAUUAAAGGAUAUAAACUAUCAAUAUGACUAAGCAAUAAAUGGUGGCUGUCAAGACUUGGAUAUUUCCAUCGGACUUGGGGAGAAAGGAUUGCGUCUAAAUCCAACAGAAUUCAAAGAAAAGGUUUAACUCUCGAGGCUAGUUGCCAUUCAAACAGGAUUUGUCUGCAACUCUACACUAGAGAGGUUGAAGAUUUUCCCAUUGAGUCCGCUGCAUGAGUGGUCAAGGAGGUUCAUCAGUUUCAUGUUUUAAUAGAGCAGGUCGUCUCAAGUAACCUUCCUAUACAUAUCAAACAUUAAAAAGCUAAUUUCAUGAUGUGAAAUCUUCAGUAAUUUUGCUGUCUGAUGGAGCAUGGCUUCACCAUAUUAGGAUUGGAGGAAACAAGUUCACUCUCAUGCGUCAUUAAAUUACUUUCAACUUUAUUUUUGAUGAGAAUGGCUGCAUAUUAAUCCUCCAAAUUAGAAUCUGCAAGCACAAAGCCUUUCUUGAUUUCUUCGCUUGGGUCGAAAUUUACUGAUGCUCUGAUCAGAAGAAAAGAUGAGAGGAUGUGAUCUGUAGAACACCAAAUAUUAAAAACAAUUAUAUUUUAUAUAUCAUCACCAAGUAUAUAUGCAAUUAUUGUUAAAUUUUAUAUAUGCAACCUUAAAAAGCAUAUGGAAUGAAAAAUCAGAAAAUCCAAUUAAGGAUGAAAGAAAAAUAAUUUCUCACAAGCUGAAAGAGUAUUGGAGAAAAUAUGAGUUAUGAAGUCACCAGGAGCAAACUAAACCUUCUUGAUCUGUCAACUAAUUUCUCACAAGCUGAAAGUGCACUAGAGAUACUUCGUUUCUUUCUGGAGAAGCUGCAAUACAAUCAUGUUAAUGAAAAGAAGAAAAACAAAAUGCAUUUCUUUCUGAAUCAUAAUCCUGGAAGCACAAGAAAUCAGGUUCUAGUUGUUAUAACACAUUGCCUCUCACUCAAAUCAUGGGAAUGAAUUCUCUUGAAUUGAACUACUGGUGGAUUCUGCUGAACAGUUGGGCUUCUCAUCUAAAUAAAACUUCAAAACAGCUUUGAAAUUCACAAUGCUUAGAGAAUGUGAUUCACAUAAUAUACCAGACAUGCAUAACUCCAUCCUUUUUAACAAACUUGGCAACCCAUGUAGCACGAUAUGAUACCAAUCCCCAUACCCUUUCAAGCUACAUCAAGGAACAAACAAUACUUGUGUUUGUCAUUUGCCACUAGGCAUUUUAAGAACAUGUUCUUGGGAUAACCAAAGACGAAAAAAUGACUCUGGUUUACAGUCCGUAAGCUAAAAAAAGAAAUCUCGACCCAUUGCUCUUACUAAUUUAUGUUUCUAGAACUGAAUUUACCUUUAACAAGCCAAGAAGUCAUAAGUGUUUGCUCAACUACAGUUCAGGAUAAGGCAUAUCAUUCUAGAAACUUACCCAAGUAACAGAAGCACCGAGAAGUGCUAAUACUAAAGAAAGUAUUUGUUUAAGAAAGUUAAUAAACACAGACUAAUUAAUUUUUGACGAAAGAUUUCAAUCAAAAGAAUUCAUUAUUGUCUACCACCUAUAAUAACUUUCCCUUUAAGCUUUCUUGGUCACACAAACCUGUGUGCACUGACAAAUUCUACUUGCUUUCACUAUAAAAAGAUAAAAACAAACAUAGAUUCAUGAACACCUGCCCCUGUUCAAUACACAGACCAAAUAGCAAACUUAUAAUGGUGAUUAAAACAAGUGAAAUUGGGACUUCUGUAGAUAAUCCAACUAAUGGUAAUAACUGGAGUGAUCUCUAGAACUGAGAUACUAAGUUAGUCUGAAGCCAAUUGUACCAAAAUAACACAGUUUAGAAGAAUGAUGCAUAACUGAAGUCUUUGAAACUUCAUACCUAAUUAACGCAACACAUAACACAAUUUAUAGUAAGAUUUGUUGCAGAUUAAGAACUCACAACUAGCAAUUGUGAAGGACUUGUGACUGAACUAUUUGAUAGUUACCAAGCAGCAUAAUUAACAUGAACAUAAAUGAUUAUCAACGUUCUAGCAGAAAUGUGCUAGAGCUGUAAGCCUAAUAGAAGCCCAAAAUCAAUCAAUCUGUAAAGUCAUAUUUAAAAUGGAAAAUCCACGCAAUUCGUUAUUGAUUUCAGUUCUAUCUAAGACAAUUUUCAGCUUAAUCCGUCUAAGGACGAUGAAAAUAACAACAAAUAGAACAUAAUCUACCACAAAAAAAAACGUUUCAUUCAGUGAGCAAUAACAAUACUAUCGCUGUUCAACAAAUUGAUGAUUGGAUCUGGCGAAUCCGAUACUGGACUCGACGGCCUCGAGCACAGAAACAACACGGACUUAGCAGCCACGAGCUUCUUCCUUUGAGGACAACUAGGACCGUAGAUCCUGCUCAAGAAGCAAGGCAAACCGUCCAUGUUGUUGACCUGGGGCUGUUCGGAAUUAGAUGAGAGAGAUGAAGGAAAAGAGGCUCGGUGGAGAGGGAUCAACCGGAGCGAGUUGACUCGGUGGGAUCUGGCGCUGAUUCGAGAGUCUCUGAGUUGAGCUAACGCGCCCGGCUUAAGAAACUUUAAAUAGGGCUCGGUCCUGGGAAGGGAGCGAGUUCUUCGCUUCAUGGUUAGAUAGACAGAGUGGGGAGGGGGUGAGAUUAGGGUUAGAGAAGGAGAGAGAUUUUGCGAUGUUUUAAAUGAGUGAGGUUAGAGUUAGAGGCGGGAAAUGAAGGGAGGGAAG